UAGUCUGGGAUUCGACAAAAGAGCUUGAACCUGAUUUCUGAGAAAGGAACCACUGGUUGCCCGAAAGUGAAGGUUCUCUCGAAGAAGUGUAAGAACGUAAAGCUAGAGAAGAAGGAGAAGAAGGAGAAGAAUGAGAAGAAGGUGAAGAAUGAGAAGAAAGAGAAGAAGAAGAAUGAUGGAGAGGGGAAGAAAGGAAGAGAUGGAAAGAAAAAGAACAACAACCAAAUCCCAGCCAAACAAAAAAGGCAAAACAAGAUUUCAGAUGAUGAAGGGAUCUGAUCUGAAGGUUUGCCAAAAGGAGUCCAGCAUGAAAAUUAAUUGCUGAACAUUUCAUUGAUCUUCACAAAACAUUAUUCUAAAGUUUUGUUUAUUAAUGUAAACUCAUAUUCAGUUUAAGGUUUUCAGCGAACGAACACUUUCGCUUUUUUUCGCGAAAAGGAGCAAAAAUAAUGCAGGAUUUCGUGAGAAAAAAACAUGCGACUAUUUCGCGAAAAAUUGCAUAGAAAUUUUGUUUCAUUUUUCUACAAAUAAAUGCGAAAAAUGCGAAUGUUCGGCAAAAAAAUUAUUAGUUUCCUCAGUCGUUUCGCUGGAAACCCUAAUAUUUACCCCAUCAAGCCAAACAAAUAAAAUAUUCCGAAAAAUGAAUCUUAACUUUUGAAAAAAGUAAGAUUGAUCCCUGCUGCCAUUUAAUUUGAGAUCUCUUGUUAUUUCAAGCUCCUUUAUUAACAUAUAUAUAAAUACCUAUAAAUAUGUUUUUGGUUUAUACGCUUAUUCAAUUUCUCCAUAUCAUAAAA